rnacentral:rRNA from 1 species
UUGAACGCUGGCGGCAGGCCUAACACAUGCAAGUCGAGCGGUAACACAGAGAGCUUGCUCUCGGGUGACGAGCGGCGGACGGGUGAGUAAUGUCUGGGAAACUGCCUGAUGGAGGGGGAUAACUACUGGAAACGGUAGCUAAUACCGCAUAACGUCGCAAGACCAAAGUGGGGGACCUUCGGGCCUCAUGCCAUCAGAUGUGCCCAGAUGGGAUUAGCUAGUAGGUGGGGUAACGGCUCACCUAGGCGACGAUCCCUAGCUGGUCUGAGAGGAUGACCAGCCACACUGGAACUGAGACACGGUCCAGACUCCUACGGGAGGCAGCAGUGGGGAAUAUUGCACAAUGGGCGCAAGCCUGAUGCAGCCAUGCCGCGUGUGUGAAGAAGGCCUUCGGGUUGUAAAGCACUUUCAGCGGGGAGGAAGGCGGUGAGGUUAAUAACCUCACCGAUUGACGUUACCCGCAGAAGAAGCACCGGCUAACUCCGUGCCAGCAGCCGCGGUAAUACGGAGGGUGCAAGCGUUAAUCGGAAUUACUGGGCGUAAAGCGCACGCAGGCGGUCUGUCAAGUCGGAUGUGAAAUCCCCGGGCUCAACCUGGGAACUGCAUUCGAAACUGGCAGGCUAGAGUCUUGUAGAGGGGGGUAGAAUUCCAGGUGUAGCGGUGAAAUGCGUAGAGAUCUGGAGGAAUACCGGUGGCGAAGGCGGCCCCCUGGACAAAGACUGACGCUCAGGUGCGAAAGCGUGGGGAGCAAACAGGAUUAGAUACCCUGGUAGUCCAUGCCGUAAACGAUGAUUACUAGGUGUUGGAGGAUUGACCCCUUCAGUGCCGCAGUUAACACAAUAAGUAAUCCACCUGGGGAGUACGACCGCAAGGUUGAAACUCAAAGGAAUUGACGGGGGCCCGCACAAGCGGUGGAGCAUGUGGUUUAAUUCGAUGCAACGCGAAGAACCUUACCUGGUCUUGACAUCCACAGAACUUUCCAGAGAUGGAUUGGUGCCUUCGGGAACUGUGAGACAGGUGCUGCAUGGCUGUCGUCAGCUCGUGUUGUGAAAUGUUGGGUUAAGUCCCGCAACGAGCGCAACCCUUAUCCUUUGUUGCCAGCGGUUAGGCCGGGAACUCAAAGGAGACUGCCAGUGAUAAACUGGAGGAAGGUGGGGAUGACGUCAAGUCAUCAUGGCCCUUACGACCAGGGCUACACACGUGCUACAAUGGCAUAUACAAAGAGAAGCGACCUCGCGAGAGCAAGCGGACCUCAUAAAGUAUGUCGUAGUCCGGAUUGGAGUCUGCAACUCGACUCCAUGAAGUCGGAAUCGCUAGUAAUCGUAGAUCAGAAUGCUACGGUGAAUACGUUCCCGGGCCUUGUACACACCGCCCGUCACACCAUGGGAGUGGGUUGCAAAAGAAGUAGGUAGCUUAACCUUCGGGAGGGCGCUUACCACUUUGUGAUUCAUGACUGGGGUG